rnacentral:tRNA from 1 species
GGGCGUGGCUCAGGGGCAGAGUAUCAGUUUUGCAUGCAGAAGGUCCCAGGUUCAAUCCCCAGAAUGUCCA